GACCGGGUAGCUCAGUCGGUAGAGCAGCGGACUUUUAAUCCGUAGGUCGUGGGUUCGAUCCCCACCCCGGUCA
rfam:Gemmatimonas aurantiaca T-27 DNA, complete genome.